rnacentral:rRNA from 1 species
GUCCUUUAGAAUUUAAUUUAAGGUCUAACCUGCCCACUGAAUAUUAUUUUAAAUGGCCGCAGUAAUUUGACUGUGCAAAGGUAGCAUAAUCAUUAGUUUUUUAAUUGAAAGCUUGUAUGAAGGGUUGGACGAAGUAAAAUCUGUCUCUAAUAAAUUUAAUUUAGAAUUUAACUUUUAAGUUAAAAGGCUUAAAUAAAAUUAAAAGACGAGAAGACCCUAUAGAUCUUUAUAAUUAAAUAAUUAGAUUUGAUUAAGAAUUUUUAAAAUUUUAUUUAUUUAAUUAUUUUAUUGGGGUAAUAUAAAGAUUAAAAUAAUUCUUUUUUUUUAUUUACAUAGAUUUAUGAAUUUAUGAUCCAAUUAUAUUGAUUAUAAGAUUAAGUUACCUUAGGGAUAACAGCGUAAUUUUUUUAGAGAGUUCUUAUCGAUAAAAAAGUUUGCGACCUCGAUGUUGGAUUAAAGAUUAUUUCAGGUGUAGAAGUUUGAAAAUUUUGGUCUGUUCGACCAUUAAAUCUUUACAUGAUCUGAGUUCAAACCGGCGUAAGCCAGGUUGGUUUCUAUCUUUAAUAAAUUAUAAUAUUUUAGUACGAAAGGACCAAUUAUUUAAUAAAAAUUAUUUAAAAUUAUGAAUAUUAUUAA